UUGAGCCGGAUGCGCUGAAAGGUGCACGUCCGGUUCUGAGGGGGCCGGGUCACGGCAACGUGACCCGGCUACCCGAC
rfam:Streptomyces cellostaticus strain DSM 40189 genomic scaffold PRJNA299219_s021, whole genome shotgun sequence.